ensembl:lncRNA
GUAGUUUGUAAUUGAAUAAAUGAGGUAUGCCACUUUCUUUUCCUGUUGCAUUUUCAAAGAAAACCUGUGGAUGCUCCUGGAUGACUUUUAUGUAUUUGGGAAAGGUGUUGCUGUCCCUCCCUUUAAGAGGGGAGGCUAGUUCUCUCCCUUUGAAUCUCCACUGAUUUUGACUCACCACGCCUUCCAUUUUUGUUCAGGAAAGGCAGCCAUGAUGCUGCAAAUAAAAGUAAGCUCAAGAUUGGUAAAUAAAUGCUA